rnacentral:rRNA from 1 species
GCAAACGGGUGCGGAACACGUACGCAACUUCCUUUAAGCGGAGAAUAGCCCAGGGAAACUUGGAUUAAUACUCCAUAAGAUUAUGGUGUGGCAUCACACAGUAAUUAAAGCUCCGGCACUUAAAGAUGGGCGUGCGGCUGAUUAGGUAGUUGGCGGGGUAACGGCCCACCAAGCCUACGAUCAGUAACUGGUGUGAGAGCACGACCAGUCACACGGGCACUGAGACACGGGCCCGACUCCUACGGGAGGCAGCAGUAAGGAAUAUUGGUCAAUGGACGCAAGUCUGAACCAGCCAUGCCGCGUGGAGGAUGAAGGCCCUCUGGGUUGUAAACUUCUUUUAUCUGGGAAGAAACCCAUCUUUUCUAAGGUGGUUGACGGUACCAGUUGAAUAAGCACCGGCUAACUCCGUGCCAGCAGCCGCGGUAAUACGGAGGGUGCAAGCGUUAUCCGGAUUCACUGGGUUUAAAGGGUGCGUAGGUGGGCAGGUAAGUCAGUGGUGAAAUCUCCGGGCUUAACCCGGAAACUGCCGUUGAUACUAUCUGUCUUGAAUGUGAGUGGGAGGUGAGCGGGAAUAUUGUCAUGUGAGCCGGUGAAAA